AAUGCUUUCAAGUAUAAUGGCUCAAAGUUUCCAUUUCUUUAUCACUAUAAUCUUCAAAACAUACUCGUUGAUUAUACCCAUUCUUUUCAUUUGUUGGUUGCUUGUAACCAAUAUCAACCUCUUCUUCAUCUUUAUAUAUUCUUGCAUCAAUAGCAUGACUCAUUCCAGUUUCGUCCAUUAAUUGCCUCUUUUGCUUAAUGCUGUCAAUGAUAACAUCAUGAAACUCCUUCUUUGCAAUUCCCAAAACUUCUUUCAAUGUGAAUUCCACCUUAGCAUUUAAUAUACGUUCUUCCAACACCCCUUUCAAAUUUGUUGCCGCUU
rnacentral:lncRNA from 1 species